AUCUUUGAUUUGCCUGGGACUUUUAAAUGACGCAGUUAAAGCUGCACCCUUCAGUGUCGAUCGAAUAGUCACUUUAGAAGUCACAUUAAGUAGAAUUUUCUAGAUUUUAAAAUCAUAUUCAACAGUUUAGAAUACAUCAAGAUGUUUGACAACCAUAUCAUCUUUAUAUCUUGCUCGGCUUUAAACAUUUGUACUACCAACGGGGUGAAACGUUGAAAAAAGGAAUGGUGGUUUCUAAACAAAGAAGAAAUAUACGACUCGAUGAUACAGCUCUUGACCUGUAGAGACCUCGUCUGUAACCCGUCACACGUGGCUCGUGUAGUUCUGAGAAAAGUCGACAGAAUUCCCGGAAGUAUCAUGUUAUUGGGCUGUCUUACUAGCGCAAAGAACUUUGCCUUUUUUUUAUGGUCGAAAGUUUAGAGACGGCGAUCUUAUCAUUUAGUCCCACCCUAUCAAAAAUGCGUUGUGGAUCAACAGAUGGAGAGCAGCUAAUUAAACAAUUUUACACAUUUUUUCUUGAUCGCUGGUUGUCGAUAAGAUAUUAUGAUAACGUUGCAUAAUAAAUGCCAUUGUAUUUUUAGAAGAAAAACCAUACAGUGUUUUGAAUAUACUGACAGCCUCUGUC